GCUCUCCUCGGUCAAGGGACGAAAGCAAUAUUUGGAGGAGAGAGAACGCAAGCGAGAAGGGAGGCAACAGCGUUUCGUUCAAAGUACAUCAAGAAGUCGGUAAACGAUCUCAUUUUGAGUAAACUGCGCUAUAAAGAGCACGUUUAUACAACCGAGCAAUUGUUGGACGCCGACCCAGGAGGUGACGUUUGGAUCUUACGUGUCUUCAGUGGACGUUGGUUUCCAAGAGAUGAUGUCACAUGACUUUAAAGUCCUUCUACCGUGAGAAAAGUGGAAAACUGCGCCCCAUGAUAAGAUUACCACAGCCAGAGAGAGAAUGAAUGCUGCCAACUGAAACAGUCAACAUAUUUUGCAAACUGGAGUUUGUCAUGCAGUCUUGGCAAAGAGACAACAUGCAUGCCACCAUCAGACACCAGUAAAAAUAUCAAGUUGUGUUCGGUGGCUGCACGUGGUAUUGCUCGACUAUGUGUCGCCGGGAGAGCAGUCGUCGCUCUCUGACGUGGUGGGCAGAUCGGGCGGGAAGGACGAUCUGGACAGGCGGAGCAACACUUUCGAGGGGAAGUCAUCAGAGUGCCGUGGCUGUCGUAUUGGUCUCCACCAUCGUGGACCUACUUAUACAAGAACAGCUUUAACAUUAGUUUAAGUUGAUGCACGUGUGAGAGUGAAUAGUUCACAGAGAGGUAACAGCACUGGAAUAGUGGAAGUACGCUUAGCACAGAUAGCACCGGGACCCCAUUCCCACAGACAAGUCCCCCUGCAACAUAUUUUUUUUAUUUUCUCACCUCACUCCAAAGGGCUCCCAUUGUCAAACAUAUUGAGUUAACUUGUAUGCAACACACCUGCUUUUCAAUGACAGUAAUGAACAGUCUUUUAUUCCAAAACAGUUUUUCAUUCACCUCAAAAAAAGGUCAUGGCAAGAACCUGUGGAGUUUAAUAUUUGAAAGCUUCGACAUCUUAAAAACAUAUCUACAAGGACAAAGUGUUAAAUUUUAACAGACAUAAAACUUUUUUUAAUCCUGUAAAUGCAUGCAAAUAAAUUUUUU